rnacentral:lncRNA from 1 species
AAUGAGUUCAAUCAGAUAUGCCGCCUCCAGUGUCUUUGUGUAAUGCUAUUUACUAGAUUUCAAAUGGACUGCUGAGAACUAUGAAAUAUAAUCUUAUGUAUUAUCUCUGUCUUAAAAAAAUAGACAAUGAAAUUGUUCUCUUGCUGGCAUAACCUUUGUGGAGUCAACUUAAAGAACAUAUAUCCCUAUAGAGUUAAAACCUUUGUUAAAGUGGAGUGCAUUUGUGAGUUCUAGGAAUGGUGGGGUUGAGUAAGCAGGUAAGUUUAAAAAUAAAACACUCAGAAUAAUAUUAUGGCAUAUUCUAAGGAUAGCUGGAUAGAAAAGGUGCAGUGUAAAUUAUGUACAACUAAAUUCUUUUUCUUUGUUUUUCUUCUUUACAGAACCUGGAGAAAGUUCUUGUGGAAUUCAAUCACAAGGAGUUGUUUGAUUUCUAUAACAAGAUAGAGACCAUACAAGCACAGCUGGAUUCCCUUACAUGAUGUUUUUGAUGACUGGUUUCUCCAUCACACGCGCACCACCUCGUUAUUUUGCAUUGAAGAAAGAUUGCCUGGAUGUAUUUUCUGGAGGAUUCAGUGACUUACUUUCUAUAAAUUAUACAGCUUAUCACUUCUUAGACAAAUAACAGCCAAGGGAGAUCACUGUUAAGAGCAGUGAGCUUCUAAUAUACUUUCUCUAGUUCUGUGAGCCAAUAGCAAUUGUUAAAAAACACUUUUACUUUAGAGAAAUCAAAAGUGAAUACCAUAUUGUUUUUACUGUCAUGUUGUUGCUUCACUUCUUUAUUUUUUAAAUGCUUCAUGAUACCUUUAUGUAUCAGAAAGACCAUAGACAGUAUAAUGGGUAUCUUCUAUUACAUUAAUAAAAUUAAGAAAACAACCAUAUGAAAAGGCAUUAUGUCAUUUUUCCUAUGAUGAAUGUAUUUUGCUUGAAUAAUAUUAUCAGAAAUAAAUUUAAAAUAGAACUAGUAGUAUUAUGUCAUUUAAUUCCAAUGUGAACUUCUCUGUCCACUUCUGAGUUUAAUGAUUUAAUAAUAGUCCUGGUUUUGUGUGCUUUUCUUUGUACCACAGAUUAAUAAUGAUUUAUUUCAUAGUGUGGGAGACAGAUUUGGAUCAUUAAUAAAAACAAUAGUAAUGAGUGUUAAAUGGGCAUUCUUAAAAUUUCAAAUCAGAUAUCUUUUGUAUUCUCCUUCUGUAUGUUAAUUGGUUUCAGUCAAUAAAAUUUUUAUUUUGGGGGAUUAUUUGAACUGAAGUGUGCAGUAUUUUUAUUUUAUGUAUUUUAUAGUAUAUUUUAUGAUAUGAAUUUGUAUAAAUGUGAGUUUGAUUGCCUGUCAAAAAAUCAAUUGAAUUUUUUAUGAAUGAAAAUACAUAUUUUGUAUUUUUUUUUCAAGGGGAGAAGUAGGGAGAGAGAGAAGUUCAAAUAUAACUUUUUUCACAUGAAGUAAUUUGAUUUCAGAAAUGUCCUAAAGCUUAAAAAAUUAAAAUUGAAGCACAUUUGCCAUAUGUAGUAAUCUGAGUAAUACAAGCAUUAAAUGUCUUUCAAAUAAAUGUUCAGUAUGUGGAAUUUAC